rnacentral:rRNA from 1 species
AAAUGAAUUGACGGGGCCGCACAAGCAGUGGAGUAUGUGGUUAAUUCGAAGCAACGCGAAGAACCUUACCAGGGCUUGACAUCCCUUGAAGCAGCUAGAGAUAGCUGUGUCCUUCGGGACAAGGAGACAGGUGGUGCAUGGUUGUCGUCAGCUCGUGUCGUGAGAUGUUGGGUUAAGUCCCGCAACGAGCGCAACCCCUGUGGUUAGUUGCCAGCAAGUAGCGUUGGGCACUCUAGCCAGACUGCCGGUGAUAAAUCGGAGGAAGGUGGGGACGACGUCAAAUCAUCAUGCCCUUUAUGUCCUGGGCUACACACGUACUACAAUGGCCGUUACAACGGGAAGCGAAGGAGCAAUCCGGAGCAAAUCCCUUAAAGGCGGUCCCAGUUCAGAUUGUGGGCUGAAACUCGCCCACAUGAAGGCGGAAUUGCUAGUAAUUGCAGAUCAGCACGCCCGCGGUCCGAAUACGUUCCGGCCUU